rnacentral:rRNA from 1 species
AGGGAAUAUUGGACAAUGGCUGAAAAGCUGAUCCAGCCAUCCCGCGUGAAGGUAGAAGGUCCUAUGGAUUGUAAACUUCUUUUCUCUGGGAAGAAAAAGCUUGAUUCAUCAAGCCCUGACGGUACCAGAGGAAUAAGCACCGGCUAACUCCGUGCCAGCAGCCGCGGUAAUACGGAGGGUGCAAGCGUUAUCCGGAUUCACUGGGUUUAAAGGGUGCGUAGGCGGGCUUAUAAGUCAGUGGUGAAAGCCCGGAGCUUAACUUCGGAACUGCCAUUGAUACUGUAAGUCUUGAGUACACUUGAGGUGGGCGGAAUACAUCAUGUAGUGGUGAAAUACUUAGAUAUGAUGUAGAACACCGAUUGCGAAGGCAGCUCACUAAAUUGUAACUGACGCUGAGGCACGAAAGCGUGGGGAUCAAAC